ACGGGGGGAGCAAGCGUUGUUCGGAUUUACUGGGCGUAAAGGGCGCGUAGGCGGCCACCGCAAGUCAAUUGUGAAAUCUCCGGGCUUAACUCGGAAAGGUCAACUGAUACUGCGGGGCUAGAGUGCAGAAGGGGCAAUCGGAAUUCUCGGUGUAGCGGUGAAAUGCGUAGAUAUCGAGAGGAACACCUGAGGUGAAGACGGGUUGCUGGGCCGACACUGACGCUGACAGCGCGAAAGCCAGGGGAGCAAACGGGA
rnacentral:rRNA from 1 species